ACGAUCCAGUCAUAAACUUGCCCUGCAUUACAUACGAUUUAUUAUUAUUUAUAUUUUUAUUUAUUUACUUUCCAUCUUCUAUAAUAAUUACAUUAUUUUUAAAUAAUUAAGUGUUGAAUGUGUUUUUGCUUACAAUCUAAUUUGAAUAUUAUUCAAGCACGCGCUUUCAUGUCAAAUAUUGUGCCGAAAAGACGCUUGAAUAUAUAAAAAAUGAUUACAUCAUUUGUUACUAUUUGAAUUAAUCAAACUUACCACUUAAUCCUGUUUCUUUAUCUGUAUUGGAAGAAGAACCAUUGAAUACUGCCGCAUAUUCUUCUAAGCCUAAAGAUCUCUUGAAAUGCUCAUCUAUAGCCGGAUCACUGACAAUACCCGAUUUUUUAAUUCCAGUUCGUUGACCACCUAUCGCUGCUGAAGGUGUUGCUGUUGGUGUAGGUCUUACUGCGGUAUCUUCGACGGUGGUUCCUAUAAAGAAAAAUUAUUAUUAUAACUUUAUCUAUGAUUACAUUUAUGUGAAUGAUAUAAAAUUUUUAAAUAUUUUAUAUUAAAUUAGAAAAAUUGAUAUCAUAUGGAUUGUAAUUGAUUUGAAAUUUGUAAAAAACUUAAGAUUAUAUACCGGGUUGAGGUGCAGCUGGAACAAUAACGCUAGGUCGAUUGUGAUGUACCCUAGCAGCCGACAUGUCGAGGGCCUCGCUCUGAAUAGGGUCCCUCCUACGCUCUUUUCGCCACGCGCUACUUGGCUUUCUAUGCAAACUCGCUGUUUUUGGACGUUCUUCUGUAAAAAUAAAGAAUUUUAAUUUAAAAAUUUUCAUCAAUCUUUACUUUAAUUAAAAUACCAUUAUAAUAGUAUUUUUUGCUGUCAACAAUAUUUUAUUGCUCUAAAAAAUCAACAUCUCUCAGAAUUUAAGACAAAAAAAGUCUAUAGCUGAAAUUUCAAAAUAUUCAUGAUAGGUAGGAAGAAAAAAAACAAAGAUGGAGUAUAAACAAAUGAUUGGAGUGAUUUAGUUCAGGGUGGAGCAAGGGAAAGGGUUAAGACUUUGAAAGGCAACGUUCUGUUCCCAGGACGAUGAGACAGGAAGUGCCUAAUAGCCGUGAGAGGAUGCACAGUGGGGCGGGAAACAGGUUUGGAAAAGGACGAUGGAAGCUGGAAAGAUGAAUGGAACGAAAUAAGGUGGGCUUGUUAUUCCUCCAGUCUCAAUUAACUUUUCGACUCUCACAUGCUUAUAUUAUAGGGAUAUAUUUCGGAUAAAUUGAACCUUCAAUUUCGGCAAUCACUCUCUGGGUUUGAUUCUCAAAGCGUAUUUUACCAUUAUAAUUAUCCUUAUAACAUAACACAAUAAUUUGAAUCAUUGCUUUUUAUUCAACAAGAAAUUUCUAGAUUUCCAAAAUCAAUUAGAUUUACAUACCAAAAUUUUUGUAUGAAAAAUCAAAAUCUUUUAUAUCAAUAUCAAGCCAAGGUUGCCACAGAUACAUUUUUCUUGAUGUCAUCCCCAUUCGUACAUGUCUCGAUAUCUCAAGAGACUCCAUUAUUACUUUUAAUAAAUUUUUUUAAACAAAUCAAAUAUUUUUAUAUAUUUAUUUAAAAAAACUAAUCACAACUCAGUUGCACUUAAAUAGCUUUAUUAUUCGUUAAAUCACUGUCUAAAUAGUUAUUUAUGAAAAAACAAAAAAAAAAGUAUAUAGUACAAUAGACAUGAAUGCAAAGCUAUUCUACACAUCCGUUGCGAGGUCUUGGUGGUUUAAUGUCGAAAGAAAAAAAAACCACAGGCAUUAUAUACACAACACAAGAGUCCUUUUAUCCAACUGCACGUAAUAAUACUCAGUAAACCGUUGAUUACGCAAGGGUAAAGAACAAUUGAGUGAUGUAAAAUAGAAAAAAUAAUAAAUACAUAAAUAAUUUUCAAA